AUUGAACGCUGGCGGCAUGCCUUACACAUGCAAGUCGAACGGUAACAGGUCUUCGGAUGCUGACGAGUGGCGAACGGGUGAGUAAUACAUCGGAACGUGCCCGAUCGUGGGGGAUAACGCAGCGAAAGCUGUGCUAAUACCGCAUACGAUCUACGGAUGAAAGCGGGGGAUCGCAAGACCUCGCGCGGACGGAGCGGCCGAUGGCAGAUUAGGUAGUUGGUGGGAUAAAAGCUUACCAAGCCGACGAUCUGUAGCUGGUCUGAGAGGACGACCAGCCACACUGGGACUGAGACACGGCCCAGACUCCUACGGGAGGCAGCAGUGGGGAAUUUUGGACAAUGGGCGCAAGCCUGAUCCAGCCAUGCCGCGUGCAGGAUGAAGGCCUCGGUUGUAACGUAGCUUUGUUACGACGAAAGACUACUUCUAAUAAGAAGGUACGAUGACGGUACCGUAAGAAUAAGACACCGGCUAACUACGU
rnacentral:rRNA from 1 species